rnacentral:rRNA from 1 species
AGAGUUUGAUCAUGGCUCAGAUCGAACGCUGGCGGCAGGCCUAACACAUGCAAGUCGAGCGGAUGAAGGGAGCUUGCUCCUGGAUUCAGCGGCGGACGGGUGAGUAAUGCCUAGGAAUCUGCCUGGUAGUGGGGGAUAACGUCCGGAAACGGGCGCUAAUACCGCAUACGUCCUGAGGGAGAAAGUGGGGGAUCUUCGGACCUCACGCUAUCAGAUGAGCCUAGGUCGGAUUAGCUAGUUGGUGGGGUAAAGGCCUACCAAGGCGACGAUCCGUAACUGGUCUGAGAGGAUGAUCAGUCACGCUGGAACUGAGACGCGGUCCAGACUCCUACGGGAGGCAGCAGUGGGGAAUAUUGGACAAUGGGCGAAAGCCUGAUCCAGCCAUGCCGCGUGUGUGAAGAAGGUCUUCGGAUUGUAAAGCACUUUAAGUUGGGAGGAAGGGCAGUAAGUUAAUACCUUGCUGUUUUGACGUUACCAACAGAAUAAGCACCGGCUAACUUCGUGCCAGCAGCCGCGGUAAUACGAAGGGUGCAAGCGUUAAUCGGAAUUACUGGGCGUAAAGCGCGCGUAGGUGGUUCAGCAAGUUGGAUGUGAAAUCCCCGGGCUCAACCUGGGAACUGCAUCCAAAACUACUGAGCUAGAGUACGGUAGAGGGUGGUGGAAUUUCCUGUGUAGCGGUGAAAUGCGUAGAUAUAGGAAGGAACACCAGUGGCGAAGGCGACCACCUGGACUGAUACUGACACUGAGGUGCGAAAGCGUGGGGAGCAAUCAGGAUUAGAUACCCUGGUAGUCCACGCCGUAAACGAUGUCGACUAGCCGUUGGGAUCCUUGAGAUCUUAGUGGCGCAGCUAACGCGAUAAGUCGACCGCCUGGGGAGUACGGCCGCAAGGUUAAAACUCAAAUGAAUUGACGGGGGCCCGCACAAGCGGUGGAGCAUGUGGUUUAAUUCGAAGCAACGCGAAGAACCUUACCUGGCCUUGACAUGCUGAGAACUUUCCAGAGAUGGAUUGGUGCCUUCGGGAACUCAGACACAGGUGCUGCAUGGCUGUCGUCAGCUCGUGUCGUGAGAUGUUGGGUUAAGUCCCGUAACGGGCGCAACCCUUGUCCUUAGUUACCAGCACCUCGGGUGGGCACUCUAAGGAGACUGCCGGUGACAAACCGGAGGAAGGUGGGGAUGACGUCAAGUCAUCAUGGCCCUUACGGCCAGGGCUACACACGUGCUACAAUGGUCGGUACAAAGGGUUGCCAAGCCGCGAGGUGGAGCUAAUCCCAUAAAACCGAUCGUAGUCCGGAUCGCAGUCUGCAACUCGACUGCGUGAAGUCGGAAUCGCUAGUAAUCGUGAAUCAGAAUGUCACGGUGAAUACGUUCCCGGGCCUUGUACACACCGCCCGUCACACCAUGGGAGUGGGUUGCUCCAGAAGUAGCUAGUCUAACCGCAAGGGGGACGGUUACCACGGAGUGAUUCAUGACUGGGGUGAAGUCGAAACAAGGUA